AUUCGGUACUGAGGCUGCACCUUCACCAAAGACCAUCCCUGGUCUCUCACAGUGCCAAGCCUCAGCUGCUCUCCAUGAUGCCUUCAGGCCUUUAAAGCAGUGUUCUAGGACUGAUUGGCUGGACACCGCAAAUCUUCCUUUGUUGAGUAAAUGACAUUCGAUAUGAAACAUGCUCCCCUACAGCAGAUGUAUGUGCUGAACAUCAAUGAUGGAUUAACAUUCGUUUCUACAUGUUUGAAUAGGUUCCAUCUGCUAGAGGAUUGAUUUCUUAUGUUGUGAUGGUGGGAAGUGCUGUCAACAGAAGAUGUCUCAGGAAAAUGUCCUCAGAGCUAAGGAAAACCAGCAGAAGAGGAGGCAGGAAAACUGGAAGGACUAGAUUGGAUGGAGGACAUCAAGAAAACAAAUCCUUCUAAGUCAACAUGAACAAAGCUUGUGUAAAUUCACAGAGGUGGAAACAGCAUGCACAAUGCUUACAUAGGUCUGCACCUGGUCCUCUGCAAUUAUAUUAUAAGUUUCAGUUUAGUGUUUUUAUGAAGUCCCUGAGUGUGUGAAUGUGUAAUCUCUGAUACUUCUGCCUUUGCUUGAUCUCUUCUCUUUGUUUACCAUGUCCAACCUAAAUGUGAUAAUUUUGUUUCAUCUUAUAUUUUAUUGUGUUUUACUUUCUAAAAACACGAAUGAAUGAAUUAAUGAAUGUGUGAAUGAAAAACUAGCCACUAGUGAAUUAAAAUUCGUGAGUGAACUAUCACUUAUACCUGCUGGGAGAAGGAAAGUCAGUUUUCCUCAAUGGAGUAACACAUCGGGUGUAUCAACAACUCCAGUGCAGGUCUCAUAGUUCAGUUGUUGACCAGCAUAAAAUGGUCUCCAAAGAAUUUAUGUGUAUGUGUUUAUUUGGUUACAACUUGAUUUUAAUUUUCUUUUAAGGUGUGAUUUUAUUUUGUUUUCUUGGUUUGGGGGAUUUUUCUAUUGUAUUGGGUUUUUGUUUGUUUAUCCAGAAGGAACUUACAGUACAGCAGGAAGGGAGAGGAUCUUGAAGGACUUGGGGAGUUUUAGAAUAUGAUCAAAAUAUACUUAAUUUAUGUAAAUAAAACCUUAAAUGUAGAUGCAGAGUGUGGGCAGAACAAAAUAAAGAGGAAAAGGAAAAUAAUGUUUCAUAUGAUUUCUUUUAAGUUUUUAUAAGAUUACUCAAUUUUAAUCAGAAGACUUACAUAAUCUAAACAGUAGGUUUUAUUGUAGCAUUUCUUAGAAGAAACACCCAUGGUUCCAUAAUGCAUUUUAAAAAUAGGUUUCUUGUGUUCUCUUCUGCUGGAAACAGCGUUUGCAUAAACCAAAAUUAAGUUAAUAAUGCAUACCUUCUCAAAAAUCUUACUGUAUCUAAAUGAAAUGACUCACUGGCCUUAUCUCUCUUCUCACAGAUAUAGUAAGCAUAAGUACGGAUAGUGGGAUAGAUAGUUUCAUUCUCACAAAUGUGCGGUUUAUUAUUAUUAUAUCUUUGGGAUAGAAAUUAGAAAGCAAAAAGAUCUAACUAUAAGAAAGCUUACAUACUACCAAACUGCAAUGGUUGAUCUUCCAGAAUAUUCUAGUUCCCAAACGUAGUACUUAGGAUUUGGUUAAGGGUCUAAUACAAUUUGCUAUGUCCUAUUCUGAUUCCUACUAAAAGGACAAAUUACGAUGUCCCAUCCUCACAUAUAGUUCCAUCAAUUAAAAUUAUGGUUUGUUGCUUACAAUGCCUAAGUUCAUAGGAAACAAUUCCAUGCAAAUAUUUUAAACAGACUAGAAAGUUCCAUGCUGGCAUUAUUGAUCCCUGCACGGCUGGUGUCUUUUAUCCUUGUGUCUGGAGUGUUUCUUUUAAUGUUCUGAUUUUCUACCUGCAGAGAUAUGUAAUUAUUUCUAAUUUCCUGAAAUUUAUGUUUUUUCCAAAUGCUUAAAUAUUACCAGGAGUUUGUUUUCUUAGUUAAUGAUUUUUUUAAAUUAUUAUUAUAUUUUUAAUGACAAAGGAAAGGGCACGAGGAAAAAAAACAAUGUGGAAUAAGCAAACUGUAGACAUUUGUUCUUCCUUCUCUAUUUGCUUUUGGGAGAGUAUCUCACAUGUAGCUGGGGAUGGUUUGAACUUGCAGACUCCUUCUACAUUAAGCUCCUUAGUGUUAGCAUUACACAGCAAACUAUGCUGCCUAGAAACUUUUCACUACAUGUGUAGUUCAAGACUAUGUGAUCCUAACCUUCGAGCCAGGGAAGAAGGCUAGCAGGAUAAAGUCACUGCUAAAAGGAACCAUAAACAAAUGGGACAUACUUUAACCACUGGUUCACAGGUUGACAGGCAAGCUGAAACUAGUAAGCUCAGACGAACAUUCUGGCAUAUACAGAUACCUCACAAGUGUGUGCAGAGAAAAGCAGGUUGACACCCAGACCUUCCAAAGACAGGGACCCAAAGAGAGGAUGGUAAUUUCAGGAGACAGCAAUAACAAAGCCAUUCGCCUCUCACCUGAAAACCACAAUUAUAUAAAA